GGUAAAAUGGCUGAGAUUUUAGGCAAUAAAUUGUAAAUUUAUUUACGAAUAGUGAUUCUUUUACCA
rnacentral:tRNA from 1 species